rnacentral:rRNA from 1 species
AUUGAACGCUGGCGGCAGGCUUAACACAUGCAAGUCGAGCGGAGAUGAGGUGCUUGCACCUUAUCUUAGCGGCGGACGGGUGAGUAAUGCUUAGGAAUCUGCCAUUUAGUGGGGGACAACAUUCCGAAAGGAAUGCUAAUACCGCAUACGUCCUACGGGAGAAAGCAGGGGAUCUUCGGACCUUGCGCUAAAUGAUGAGCCUAAGUCGGAUUAGCUAGUUGGUGGGGUAAAGGCCUACCAAGGCGACGAUCUGUAGCGGGUCUGAGAGGAUGAUCCGCCACACUGAGACUGAGACACGGCCCAGACUCCUACGGGAGGCAGCAGUGGGGAAUAUUGGACAAUGGGCGGAAGCCUGAUCUAGCCAUGCCGCGUGUGUGAAGAAGGCCUUUUGGUUGUAAAGCACUUUAAGCGAGGAGGAGGCUACUAGUACUAAUACUACUGGAUAGUGGACGUUACUCGCAGAAUAAGCACCGGCUAACUCUGUGCCAGCCGCCGCGGUAAGAC